ACAGCCACACCUCAUUGAAACACCAGUUCUCAUAUGAUUACCAAAGUUAAGCAAUGUCUAGAUUGGUCAGUACAUAGAUGGGUGACCACUUGAGAAUACCAGGUGCUGU